rnacentral:rRNA from 1 species
UGGGGAAUAUUGGACAAUGGGCGCAAGCCUGAUCCAGCCAUGCCGCGUGAGUGACGAAGGCCUUAGGGUUGUAAAGCUCUUUUGGCGGGGAAGAUAAUGACGGUACCCGCAGAAUAAGCUCCGGCUAACUUCGUGCCAGCAGCCGCGGUAAUACGAAGGGAGCUAGCGUUGUUCGGAAUCACUGGGCGUAAAGCGCACGUAGGUGGGCAGUUAAGUCAGGGGUGAAAGCCCGAGGCUCAACCUCGGAAUUGCCUCUGAUACUGGCUGUCUAGAGUUCGAGAGAGGUGAGUGGAAUUCCUAGUGUAGAGGUGAAAUUCGUAGAUAUUGGGAAGAACACCAGUGGCGAAGGCGGCUAACUGGUCCGGUACUGACGCUGAGGUGCGAAAGCGUGGGGAGCAAACAGGAUUACAUACCCAUGUAGUCCCUGAGCGGGCUGGCAAGGCGCAU